GAUGAACGCUGGCGGCGUGCCUAAUACAUGCAAGUCGAGCGAACAGACGCGGCGCUUGCUCCUUUGACGUUUGCGGCGCACGGGUGUAUAACACGUGGAUACCCUACUUAUCAGACUGGGAACACCUCGGGACACCGGCGCAUAUACCAUAGAAUAUCCUGAACCGCAUUGGUCAAUGGUGAAAGACGGCUUUGCUGUAUCUUCUCGAUGGUUACGCGCCGCAUUAGCUAGUUGGUAAGGUAACGGCUUAUCAAGGCAAGGAUGCGUAGCCGACGUGAGAGGGUGAUCGGCGACACUGGAAGGGAGACACGGACCAGGCGCCUACGGGAGGCAGCAGUAGGGAAUGUGACGCAGCGGGGGAGAGCAUGACGGAGCAGCGCGGCGUGAGUGAUGAAGAUCUUCGGUGCGUAAUGCUCGGUUAUGAGUGAUGAACAAAUGUGUAAGGAACUAUGGACGGCGUGACGGUACCUGAUAAGAAAGCAACGGCUAACUACGUG
rnacentral:rRNA from 1 species